CGCCACAGACCAAAGCCUGCAAAGCCAACACCACAAACCCAACUACCCUAACUAAACCAUUCGCCACGCCAAGUAUAAGAGACAGAACAACAUCUAAGCGCACUAGCCAACUAGUACCGUAAGGGAACAAUGAAAGACUCUACUAACCAAAAACAGCAAAAAACAGCAGUGAUCAACCCUCGUACCUCUUGCAUCAUGGUUUAGCCAGCACAAGCAAACAAAAAGCACUUAAAUUUGCAAACCCGAACCCAGACGAGCUACCCACGGGCAGUCACACGGACGCACCCAUCUCUGUAGCAAAAGAGUGGGAAGACCCCCGGGUAGAGGCGAAACACCAACCGCGCCUGGCGAUAGCUGGUUGCUCAACCAAUGAAUCCAAGUUCAACUUUAACAACUGCCCAAAAAUAACUAUUUUUCCAUGCCAAUGUUAAAGUAUAUACAAUUAGGGCACACCUUAAUUGUACCUAUAUACAGCCCCAACUUAGAGGAACUGAUGAAAACCACCACCCAGUAGGCCCUUAAGCAGCCACCAAAACAAACCGCGUCAAAGCACAACCAAACUAAAAUUUCCCCCACAAAACCAACACCCUAAAACACCAACUGAGCCAACCCACUUUCAAAUGGGAGUAAUACUGCUAAAACUAGUAAUAAGGCCACUGCCUCAAUGCACACCCAUAAACCAGUUUAGAUAAACUACUGGAAAUUAACAAUUUUACCUAUACCAAAACUAGACCACAUACCCACCAAACCCCGUUUUCCCAACACAGGCGUGCUACAAAGACAGAUUAAAAGUUAAAGAGGGAACUCGGCUAAUUGAGCCCCACCUGUUUACCAAAAACAUCGCCUUUAGCCCAUAUAAGUAUUAAAGGUCCUGCCUGCCCAGUGAUAACACCCUAUUCAACGGCCGCGGUAUCAUAACCGUGCAAAGGUAGCGUAAUCACUUGUCUCCUAGAUAGAGACCAGUAUGAAUGGCUGAUUGAGGGCCCAACUGUCCCCUUUACCCAAUCAAUGAAACUGAUCUUUCAGUACAAAAGCUGAAAUACCAACACAAGACGAGAAGACCCUGUGGAGCUUCAAACCUACUACUAACCCAAAAGCAACACCAUGCUAUAGUAUAAGUUUUAAGUUGGGGCGACUACGGAGAAAAAAUAACCCUCCACGAAACUAGGGUAACCCCCAAAAUGAGGCCUACAAGCCAAACAACCUAUGCUGACCCAGUAACACUGAAAACCGGACCAAGUUACCCCAGGGAUAACAGCGCCAUCUCCCUUAAGAGUCCAUAUCGCCAGGGAGGCUUACGACCUCGAUGUUGGAUCAGGACACCCAGGUGGUGCAGCCACUACCAAAGGCUCGUUUGUUCAACGAUCAAUGUCCUACGUGAUCUGAGUUAAGACCGGAGCAAUCCAGGUCGGUUUCUAUCUGUGCAUAGCUGCCCCAGUACGAAAGGACCGAGCAGCAGACGUCCAUGACAAGUCAUACGUCUAAAACAGCGCUAAGAGAUUGAAAACAAUCUCAAAUUCGCCGCACCCCAAAAACCACCCCCAGAUACAGGGGGUU
rnacentral:rRNA from 1 species